UACGUAGGGUGCGAGCGUUAAUCGGAAUUACUGGGCGUAAAGUGUGCGCAGGCGGCCGCGCAAGUCGAGUGUGAAAGCCCCGGGCUUAACUUGGGAAUUGCGCUCGAAACUACGUGGCUGGAGUGUGGCAGAGGAAGGUGGAAUUCCAGGUGUAGCGGUGAAAUGCGUAGAUAUCUGGAGGAACACCGGUGGCGAAGGCGGCGUUCUGGACUGUUUCUGACACUGAAUAACGAAAGCCAGGGGAGCAAACGGG
rnacentral:rRNA from 1 species